GAACGCGCGGCUGCGGCUGGAGAAUCGCCGCCUGCGCCGCGAGAACCGCUGCCUCUUCCGACAGGCCCUGCUGGGGCCCGGCCCUGACAAGCCCCCCGCCGACCCGGGCGAGGAGGCGGAGGCCCUGCGCGCCCAGCUGGGGCGGCUGCAGGAGAAGCACCGCCGGGCCUUGCGGCACCUGAGGCGCUGCCGGGCCGCAGGCGGGCCCGAGGCCUCGGGAGACGAGGACGGGGAGUUGGACGAGCUGCUGCUGGAGGAGGACGAGCAGCCGCUGGAUAAGAAGAGCCUGGUGUCGGCCGUGUAGGCGGCCCCGGUGGAGGGGGCGGCGCCGGCCGGCGCUGCGGGCCCACCCCGCCGCCACGGGACGUAUACCCGGGAGGCACUGACCGUGACCGAGGGGAACCAGGCUCAUGUGGGAAGCUGAGGCUUAGAGCACGAGUGGAAUUUCUCACAGCGGCUGUUGUGGAGAAGAGAACCGGGGUGAACAGAACACUUUAUCUCGUGUUAUCCCACAGCAUUGAACUCUGCUUCCUCUGGAGCUGUGGAUCACCUUUUUUCACCUUUCACCUUUCUCAACUGUCAUUCAGGCUUCAGGAGCCAUGGAGACUGACUAGUUCUUAGUAGUUGGUGUAUGUUAGGAAGAAGAGUGGAGGAAGCUUGAAAGCUUUUGUCAGUGCUCCAAUAAAAAUUGGUAAUCUUUGAACAAUGAAUUGCCUUGGACACUUACUGCAGAACAUUAUUUGUAUUUUUAAUGAUGGCCUUCGUUCACUCACAUGGAUCCUGAUUUGAAUUUCACAUUUCUACACGAAAUUGCAGCUAUCAAAUAAACUUAUGAGAUACACCAAA